CUCUGGUCUAAGCCUCCAUGGGCCGGUGGGGAGAUCAAAGUUCUACCUCACCGGUCCACAGCAGCAUUGAGGGAGGCAGCAGAGAACCCGGGCUAGAGUUCACUCUCCACUGAACCACCAGGGAAGGCAGCAGGACUGGGAUAUUAACUAAUCUGCCCCACCUCCACCCAAACAUACAGCACACACACACACACAGCACCUACACACAGCACACACAGCCCACAAACAGCACCCACACACAUACAUCACCCUCGCACACACAGCACCCACACACAUACAACACCCAGCACACUAACAGCAUCCUCACAAACACACAAAAC